AAAGGUUGUGAGAUUUCAUAAACAACUAGGAAGUUGGCUUAGAAGCAGCCACCUUUUAAAGAGUGCGUAAGUGCUCACUAGUCAAGAGAUCUUGCGCCAAUAAUGUAACGGGACUCAAACACAAUACCGAAGCUACGGGCACAUUAUGUGCGUUAGGAGAGCGUUUUAAUUUCGUUGAAGUCAGACCGUGAGGACUGGUGGAGAGAUUAAAAGUGAGAAUGCCGGCAUGAGUAACGAUUCGAAGUGAGAAUCGUCGACGCCUAUUGGGAAAGGUUUCCUGGGCAAGGUUCGUCCACCCAGGGUUAGUCAGGGCCUAAGAUGAGGCAGAAAUGCAUAGUCGAUGGACAACAGGUUAAUAUUCCUGUACUUGGUAAAAGAAGGGG
rnacentral:rRNA from 1 species